rnacentral:tRNA from 1 species
GGACAUAACUCAGUUGGUAGAGUACUUGCCUUGCAUGCACAAGGCCCUGGGUUCAAGCCCCAGCACCA